GGAGAACAUUUACAGAGGACUGUGGGUAAAGCAAAGUCUUCAAGGGAAGAUAACAAAGGAUGAAACAAUGGUGUUGUGUGACUUCCUAGUGUGAAUCAUGGCAAUACAGUGAAAGAUAGUGAUUUACUGCUUUUGAGGGCGUGCAUGUAUAUGAUUAACGGAUGGAAGUGCAGGACUCCAAGAUUUACUUCCUUCCCUUUCCAGCAGAAUUACCUGAGAUGAGUAAAAUCUACUGGUGGAGUCACUCCAUUAUUCUUAUCUGUGGAGAUCUAGAUCUUGAUUUGAAAGUUUCUGAGAAAAUCUUCAGCUCAGACUUGAGGGUCAACUUUACCAGCUGAAGUGACUACAUCCUGCCUGCUUUCAGCUCCAGUGGAAAAU
rnacentral:lncRNA from 1 species